GAAGCAGCAGCCUUGACACCAAACAUUUUAACACAGUAAUUCUACGCUGUGUAUUUAUUCUUAGAAAAUGAAAGGACAGGAGCAAACAGAAGUAUGGAGAAAAGAAGAUAUUUGCUGCAUUUCUGUGUAUAAGGAGAAAAAUGAAAGCUAACAUUUUAUGUGACUGGUUGGUGACCUUGGCUUCCCCGCCCCUGGGCAUGAGGCCAAUGGCCUUGCUCCAGCUGAUGAAGAGCAGGCAGAGAUGCUGUGCUAUUUCCUGGUUGUACUCUCUCCCUCGGCCACCUGCAAUGUUUUGUGAAGGGGCUGCUCCAUCAUUCUGCAUCCCAAAGGCCCCUGCUGACCGAGGACAGACACAGAAUGGGAAUAAGAAACUUUUGAGCAGCAUGACAUUGAUGUGGCCACGACCAUCAGCACGUAUGGUGUGCCAGGCUUCAUGUUAGAUGACUCACAG